AAAUUGUACUUCUCUUUUAAUAGAUAAAAUAUAGACUAUAAUUACAAAUUUAUAAAAUAGCAUUGAACCUUUUUGUUUUAUAAUAAAAUUUAAUUAAUAUUAAUAUUAUAUUACUAAUUACGAAAUUAGUUAAUGCAUUAUUUAAUAAAAAUAUUUAAAAAGUUCGUAUGUUUUUGUUAGAUUUUUUUUCUCAUCAGAUUUUGUUAUAACUAAAAAACCAAAUUUAUUUUUAAAACUGGUUUAUUAGUAAUACACUUAUUGAUUAUUAUGUCAUAUUAUAUAAUUAAAGAAAUGGACAUAGUAUAAAUUUUUAUGAUAUAUAAAAAUUGUACUUCUCUUUUAAUAGAGAAGAUAUCUAUUAAUAUUAUCUUCACUUAUACAUGGCAUGAAUAUGAAUAAAAUCAAUACAACUAACAUGUUGAAAAAAAAUUAAAAUGUUGAUCUUGCAAAUAUACAGAAAUACAAAAAGACGUGAAUAAAAUAAUAUGUAAAUAAUCAUAUUAUUAAUGAUACAUAUAAAAUUUGCCAACUAGUUUUACAUUGUACAUUUCUAAUAUAUGAUUCUAUUUUCAGAAAGAAAGAAGUCUAAUCAUAUACUUAUACAUGCACAAAAGUCUAGAGAAUAUUGUUCUUUUUCUGGGAAACUCUUUCAAAUGACUGGAAUGACUGGAAUUCAAACAAAAUAAAUCAAAAUGACUGGAAUUACAACAUGGCUUAAGAAGAAAGAAUAGGUCAAAAUGACAAGAAUUCAAACAAAAUAGAUAAAUCUCUAGUCAAUUCAUAUUAAAAUAAUAAAUGUAUAAUGUAGUCAACGAAGACUAUAAAUAAAAGAAUACUAUAUUUUGAUCACAACGUAGAAUUAAGUUUGAUUCAAAUAAUUAUUUACUAAACAUUAGAAUUUUUUUACAAAUGUGCUUUCAUACAAAUAUUUGUUUUAAAAAUACAAAUAAUUAAAUUAAAAUUUCUAUAAUAUAAAUAUAAGAUAAUUCAUUUAUAUAAGCUGCCAUAUUAGUUUUACUUAUACUUAAUGCUUUAAAAUAUAAUAAUAAUAUAUUUUGAACCUUUUAUGUUGGUCAAAUUUUAAUUUAUUAUAAUAUAUAUUUACUAUAUGUCAUUCAACCAAUCUCAUACUUGCUAAAUAUUUACAUGUUUAUGAAAUAAUCCGCAAAAAAUUGUAAUUCUAAAACAUAACAUAUAGUUGAUAUACCAUAUAAUCAAAUAAUAUGAAUAUCAACUAAAUUUAGUAUUUUAAUUUUCAUGCAAUUAAAAUAUAUUUGAAUUUAAUAUUAUAAUUUAAAUAUGUAUAUUUAAAAUAUAAAAUUAUUUAUUAGUGUACAUAUCUUACUUUAAUAUUUAUUUUAAUAAGUGGAUGCAGUUUGUAAAAUUUAUGAACAUAUGUUAUUCUGUAUGUGUAAUUAUUUUAAUUUUACUAUUUAUAAAAUAUUUAAUAAAUAGAUAAAGUAACUUUAUAUUUAUUUAUUGGUCUCAACUAAAUUAUGCAUAUGAAUUAUAUAUAAAAAAUUGUACAGAAAUUUGAUUUCUUAUUCUAUAAAUGAAAAAUAAGUUUUCAUUUAUUUAUUAUAAUAUUUAACAUUAGUUACGUUUUUUUAUUUAAAUGUAAAUAUUAAUAAUAUAUAUUUAAAUAUAAACAAAAGGUAUUAAAAUAUAUCAUUACAAUGAAAUCUUAGAAAAAGAUACUUAAGAAUAUCUUUUAGAUAUCUUAUUUUGAAAAUAUUAAAAUAAUAUAUUAGAUUAUGGUAUAUAUUUAAAAGUAACUAAGUUAAUUGUAUGAGAAAUAAUAUAAAUUUAAAUAACUCCAACUAUGAAUUUUGUUUUGUUAGUAGAUUUUUUAGUGAUUCUGUUGUAAUAGUAUAGAUAUAAUUCCAUGUAUAUUCUUUCCUCCACCAUAUAUAUAUUCACCAAAAUCAAUUCAAACAAACAACAAACAUCCUUACAGUCUUACCCUUGAGUUUUAUAUCUCUUUGAACAAAAAAGCUAUAUCAGAAAUGGCCCAAAAAAUGUGUUUGGUGAUGAUGAUGGUGUUGGUAUUGGUAACAGUGGAAUGUGAUCUAAAAGCAAGUAACAUCCCUUUCUCUCCCUCACCAGCGUCUCUCCUAGAGGAUGAAGUAAUACUGCCACAAGAAGGUGACACUACUAUCUGUUUCAGAAAUUGUACCCUAAAAUGUGGCGCUAACAUGGAUUGCAUGCACAACUGUUUGAAGAAUUGCUCCUACUAGGACAACUCUUUUUUUAAUUUAUCAUAUAAAUAACUCACAUUUCUGAUGAUGAUCCAUGUGUUUUUCAUACGGCCAUUUGAGUUUAUAUCAAUGUAUUAAGAUUAAUCGAUUACAAGUAAAAUUUUCGUUAUAUAUUGUCAAAUUUCAUGAUGGAAAAUACAUAAACUACACGACCAUACCAUCGAUCGACCGAUAGCAAGGCAUCAACCAGAUGAAUACGCAGAUAAUUCAUAACUUUUGGAAAAGUAAUCACUGGCUACAUUAAUUAUUAACCACGACAUGGUUAGCCAUGCAGACUAAACUUAUAUAUCUAGCAGCAUGAAAUAUAUGUUAUACAAGACAUUAUUCUACAACUUAAUGAUGUUACCUAAUUAACACCAUAAGCUUAAUUUUAUUAAUCCAAAAAGUGAUGUGGACGUUAAUUCCUUUUAAUCUUCAUGUUUGAUCAAUUAAAAUUAUAUCCACUCGACUGUAACUUAACUAAAAUUUGACCCGUCACGAUAAAGGGGAAAAUCAGAACAUUAGUGUUUCAAUUCAAAUUAGUGAGAGAGAAAGGAAGUUGGUGAAAUCUUGUGGGGUUAUUGACCAAAAUCGAGAGAGAUGUUAAUGCACCCCGAAAUCGAUUAACUGCUCUCUUUCUCUCUCUCUCGUUUUGGUCAACCCCCCCCCCCCCAAGAUUUCACAAAUUCCUUUCUCUCUCACCGGUUUUAAUUGAACGCUUAAUUUUUUCGAUUUUCCCUUUUUGUCGCGAUAUAGAGACAACAUAUCCGAUGUUUAUAUAUAUAAUUUUGGGCCGAUUAUAUAAUUUAUGGCCAAAUUUUAUUUUGUUUUAUUAGAUUAUAUUGAGUCAAAGUUUAGUUAAAUUAUGUUCAGAUGGAUCAUAUUUUAAUUGAUUAACGGGAGAAUUAAAUAGAGUUUAAUGUCUCCACGUCCACGUCACUUCUUAGAAAUUAAACUCGUAAUGUUAACCACAUAAUAUCAUUAAGUUGGUUGUCGUCAUGCACAACAUAUACUUCAUAUAGUUAGGUAUACAUUAGUUUAGUGUGCAUGGCUAACCAUGUGGUGGUUAAUACUUCACGUUAUAGCAAUCAUUUUUCCUAAAUUUCUUUUUGCUGUAUAUGAUAAGAAGCCAAGAUAUAUCACCAUUCUAUUUUCAGAAAUGGACCAAUUAUGAACAAGAGUAGGUAACGUGGAGUUUUCAGAUUAUAAAUAAAUAACUGAAAGUGCUGGUCUAACACUUCUAAAAUGCAUUAAUCAAAAUUUAACAACAUGUCUUUUGUAUUUUUUAAAUCUAGUAUCAUAUAUAUGGGCCAACGAAUUUUUUUAAACCUAUAUAAAUUAACAUCAGAAUAAGUCAUUAAGCCCAUUUUAUAAAUUUCAAAACUCUUCAUUAAAAAUCCAAACACAGAUUUUUUUCAGUGAGAUCACAAGUGCCGAAGUUGACACUUUAGGAAGAGAUGAAACUUUCAUUAUAUAUAUGAUUUUAUUCCAAUUAGUAUAUGGCAUAAAAAGAAAAAAUAUGUGAAAAUUACUAUUAUUCAAACAAAAAUAAAUAAGGUCAAACAAAAACAGUAGAUGCAAUUUACUAGAGGUGAAUCAAUACAAAGACUAUAAAUAAAGUAAUAAAUAAUUUCAUAUAAUCUUUCCUCCAUCGUAUAUAUAAACCCACACAAGUCAAACAAAACAAACAACAAACAUCAAUCUUACAUUCUUACUACUCUUGAGUUUUAAACCUGUUUGAACGAAAAAAAGUUCUAUCAGAAAUGACUCAAAAAAUUUGCAUGGUGAUGAUGAUGGUGAUGGUAUUGGUAACAAUGGAAUGUGCUACUAUUAAUCAAGCAACAAAAGGCUACGGAUCAUGCAUCACCGAAUGCGUUGAAAAGUGCGGCACAGAUGAGCAUUGCCGAUAUCAUUGCAGAUGGAUUUGCCCCAAACCUCACUUACCACAGGUUAUCCUAAAGGAUGAAACAAUAUUGCCACAACAAGGUAGAAACGCUAUCUGCUACAGAAACUGUCUCAUCAAAUGUGGCAAUAACGAAGCUUGCAUGCAUGCUUGUUUGGAGAAAUGCCUCUAGUAAAACUGCUAUUUAUAAUUAUCAUACAAAAUACUCAAAAAAUUUAUGAUGGUGCAUGUGUUUUACAUACGACAAUUUGAGUUUAUAUCAAUGUAUUACGUUUCUUAACUUCGUUCCAGAAAAGAAAUCGAAUAUUAGUAACAAAGUUUUGGUUAUAUAUGGGUCGUGUCUAAUCUCAAAUGGAAAAUACAUAAAUUUGAGUUUUAUACGGAACCAGUAAUGCCAGACAACAAUGCUAGCUGCUAUAGAGAUUGUAGAAAGAAAUCUGGCAAUAAUGCAGAUGCAGAUUGUUUCAAACCUUGUAUAAGGAAAUCCUCCAAAAGUACUAUUUUCUAAUUCUCAGACAAAGCGUUCACUUCUAUUAUGAUUCAUUUUUUUUGUCAAUAAAAUAGAUUAAUGAUAUGAACUAUGAAAGAAUCCCAAGAUAUAUUAUUAUAUCUUCAGAAAAAUGGACCAGUGAUUAACAAGAAUAGGUAAUUACAGUUUUUCAUAUUAUAAUUUACAAAUAAGUAAAUGAAAUAGAUUUUCAGGGGACAUUUUGAUGGGGAUAUAAACGAAGGAUGACAUAUAUCAGACAAUUGACUACCAUAAUAGCGAAUAAUAUUUGGUUUGAGAUUGCUCGUUAUGUUGUUUCUGUUACAUAUUACUUUUAUGUUCAUAUCCCUAUAUUUUGAUGGGGAUAUAAACGAAGCUUGCAUCGCUUGUGUCUGACCGAUUCGUGAUUCACACUAAUCAUACACAAUACUUGCUUUGCCGUAUUCCCCAGGCUUGAAGCGAAGCAUCUUUGGUUCAUGAGAUCGCCUCAUGUGCCUUGCUACAAACAUGCAUGUGUAUUUAUUUGCAUAAAGUUAAUGCCCUGGCGUUUCUCAUAAUUUUGAUGGACCCUAUGGAAGUUUUAUUUUUAUAUAUAUCAACAAUUAUAAUGAUUUUGUCAAAAAAGUUCAAAAUUUUGAAAAUAAUUCUAAUUUCUAACCCAAAAUAUUGCAAUUUUUUUAGAAUCCAGUGCAAAAGCAGUUGUUGUAUAUGUCAAAAGUUGGGCCUGUUAACGCGGAAUGAGCAUAGAUUAUCAUAUCACUUUGGGGGUAGAUAUACUACUCAUAGUUUAACAUUUUAUUACUAAUUUAUGUCAAACAUAUCAUAUAUUGUCGCAUGUUUAUUAGAGUUUAAGCGUUUCGGAGGUGGAUAGUUUUUUGGAUUGGGUUUUGAUCAAACCAGACCUGGGCACAUGCUAGUAAAAUUUUGGUUUUGACUCUCAUCUUAGAAUCCGACUCUGGUUCUAAUAGCAUUUAGGUUCGACUCUACAAUAUUUUAGUCAGUUUUAAACAUGUGGUGUUAAACGAGCGUAUUGUCACCUGACCAUGUAACUUAAUAUGAUUAUUUUCGGAUUAGUAGUGUGAUAUCAUCAAGAAGUCACUGUCUAGUCCAUGAUCAGAAGUUGGAGCAAGUAGCUGAUAUCCCCCCCCCCCCCCCUCUACGGUGUAAGGAUAUUUCAAAGGGAAGAAGACAUAUAUAAUUUUCUUUAAAAAACAAGACAUAAAUCCUUGAAGUUGGGCUUAUUCUUGCUCAAAUAAUUAAUCUCUAUAUGUAAUCUAACGGGAUUGAAACAAACGAAGACUAGAAAGAAAUGAAUAAACUAGAGGUUGAUUAAUGACAUAUUCAUCACAUAGCUUAUUUGAAUAUUUUUAGGUUUCUACAAACCUAUCCGGACACAAAAGGAUCCGAUUCGAACAAUGUCCAAAAAUUUAUAAUACAUGGAUGGAGUUUAAUUUUUAAACCCACAAUAUCCGAAAACCGGUCUAUAUCCGAACGGCGAACGGGUACCUGAAUGCUUAUGUCUUACACAAUCUGUAAAAACUAAAAAAAAAUUGUUAACUGGUUUGGAAUCUUGUCACGAAUUGAGCCAUUUCACUAAAACCUGUGAAAUUACUAUGGUUGACAUGUAAAAUAAAUGUUUUUGAAUUAUUAUCAUAAAGAAAAUUAAAGAAAUAAUUAAGAAAAGUAAAAAAGAUGAAUGUAAAAGAUGCAAUAAAGCACUUAAGAAUAGAUAAAUUCUAUUUUGCAUUUCUAUAAUAAAUGCUGUCAGAUUAUUUAGAAAAAAAAAACAAUAAAUGAAGUGAUUGCCAUUAGUUAAAAAUGAAUCAAAAUCUAUUAAAAAGCACUUAAAAAUAUGCAAGUAUUAAUUUGUACUUCAGUUUUAGUAGAAUAGUUUUAAUAGAAUAGAGAUAAUUUCAUAUAUAAUCUUUCCUCCGUCAUAUAUAUAAACCCACACAAAUCAAACCAAGCAAACAACAAACAUCAAUCUUAUAUCCUUACUACUCUUGAGUUUUAAACUUGUUUGAACAAACAAAAAUAUAUUAGAAAUGGCUCAAAAAAUGUGUAUGGUGAUGAUGAUGAUGGUGAUGGUAUUGGUAACAGUGGAAUGUGAUACUAUUAAUGAAGCAAUAGAAGACUACGGAUCAUGCGUCAACAGAUGCUUUAACAAUUGUGGUACAGAUGAGCAUUGCCAAUAUCAUUGCAGAUGGAUUUGCCCCAAACAUCACACACCACAGUUUAUCCUAAAGGAUGAAGCAAUACUGCCACAAGAAGGUAGGACUACUAUCUGUUUCAGAAAUUGUACCCUGAAAUGUGGCGCUGAUAUGCAUUGCAUGCACAAUUGUUUGAAGAAUUGCCCCCACUAGGACAACUCAUUUUAUUUAUCAUACAAAAUACUCAAUUUUUAUGAUGAUCCAUGUGGUUUUUAUAAGGCAAUUUGAGUUCAUAUCAAUGUAAUAGGAGUUUAUCGUUCCAGAAAUAAAUUAUCGAAUACUAGUAAAUGUUUUUGUUCUA